AAUGAACGCUGGCGGCAGGCCUAACACAUGCAAGUCGAGCGAGCAUUUCGGUGCUAGCGGCGGACGGGUGAGUAACGCGUGGGAACGUGCCCUUUUCUGCGGAAUAGUCCUGGGAAACUGGGGGUAAUACCGCAUACGCCCUUUUGGGGAAAGAUUUAUCGGAGAAGGAUCGGCCCGCGUUGGAUUAGGUAGUUGGUGGUGUAAUGGCCCACCAAGCCGACGAUCCAUAGCUGGUUUGAGAGGAUGAUCAGCCACACUGGGACUGAGACACGGCCCAGACUCCUACGGGAGGGAGCAGUGGGGAAUCUUAGACAAUGGGGGCAACCCUGAUCAAGCCAUGCCGCGUGAGUGAUGAAGGCCUUAGGGUUGUAAAGCUCUUUCAGCUGGGAAGAUAAUGACGGUACCAGCAGAAGAAGCCCCGGCUAACUCCGUG
rnacentral:rRNA from 1 species